AUGGCAUUCAUCGCCGUAUUGGCGGCGUGGAAGGCGCCUUCAAGCCUACACUUGUGCCUCGGGUCGACGAGGCAGCCGCAACAUGCCAACAGCCGCAACAGACCAAAGAAAUUAGAUCCAUCCAGCUUACUGCAAUGGAAUCGACCAGAACCAAAGACACCGAUGGUGAGGGGCGAUGGAGGCGCGGGCGAGACCAUGAAUCGACGGGCGCACAUGGGAGGGCGGCAAAUCGAUGGUGGCGCAGGGUCACACGCAAGAUUAUGGGAAGCAUAUAACCUGAGCUCUACGAGGGUUAUCACGAUGAGUCAUCACAGGUAUGGAAACUUGACAGCAUUAGCUCUGGAAAGAUGCUUUCUACUCACAGUUGAACAAGUCUGGACUGAUCAAGGUAUUGCUAGGUGGACCUUGCCAGAGCAAUCAAGUAAAUUAGCAGAUUUCAGCAGGAAAAGGGUUACUCACAGGCCUCAUAAGCAAUAUGAGGAACCCGGGAAGAAGUACAAGUUAGCUACAAAAGAUGGAAAUGAUGCGCCAACAAAUACACCAAUCUUGUUUAGUACAAAAUGGGAUGCAGAUGAUUCCAAAAGACUGAUGGUCCACCAUAAUAUAUAG
rnacentral:rRNA from 1 species